GACGAACGCUGGCGGCGUGCUUAACACAUGCAAGUCGAACGAUGAAGCUAGAGCUUGCUCUGGUGGAUUAGUGGCGAACGGGUGAGUAACACGUGAGUAACCUGCCCCGAACUCUGGGAUAACUGCUGGAAACGGUAGUUAAUACCGGAUAUGACCAAUGAAGGCAUCUUCUGUUGGUGGAAAGAAUGUCGGUUCGGGAUGGACUCGCGGCCUAUCAGCUUGUUGGUGGGGUAACGGCUCACCAAGGCGACGACGGGUAGCCGGCCUGAGAGGGUGAUCGGCCACACUGGGACUGAGACACGGCCCAGACUCCUACGGGAGGCAGCAGUGGGGAAUAUUGCACAAUGGGCGCAAGCCUGAUGCAGCAACGCCGCGUGAGGGACGACGGCCUUCGGGUUGUAAACCUCUUUUAGUAGGGAAGAAGCGAAAGUGACGGUACCUGCAGAAAAAGCACCGGCUAACUACGUGCCAGCAGCCGCAGUAA
rnacentral:rRNA from 1 species